CAAAAACCAGUUGGGACCCGAAUGCCCAUGCCUAAUUUUAAGUUUUUGGCGGGAAAUUGGGAUUUUACGUUCUUGGUGGAAAUGUGAUUUUGAAAUUUUUGAUGGGAAAACAAAGUUUUGCGUUUUUGACGUGAAAACAAGAUUUUGCGUUUUUGGCAAAAUGAGGUUUUAAACUUUUUUUGGCCGAAAAAUAAAAUUAUUAUAUUUGUUGCAAUUGAUGAUUCAUCUAGUGGACAGAUGUCUAUGUCAUAUGUUGCCAUUACAUUACACUUGUCCUCUUCUUGGUUCAUUUGUGCAUCAUCAUCUUUUUGGUUUUGUCUUUUUCUUCUAGUUGAUUUGAUCAACCGACUUCCACACCACUAUAAAUAGUGAUGGUCCCCCUUCCUCA
rnacentral:lncRNA from 1 species